AACGAGCGCAACCCCUAUCAUCUGUUGCCAGCAUUUAAGGUGGGGACGUCAGAUGAGACUGCCGGUGACAAACCGGAGGAAGGUGGGGACGACGUCAAGUCAUCAUGGCCCUUACGGCCUGGGCUACACACGUGCUACAAUGGUCGGUACAAAGGGUUGCCAAGCCGCGAGGUGGAGCUAAUCCCAUAAAACCGAUCGUAGUCCGGAUCGCAGUCUGCAACUCGACUGCGUGAAGUCGGAAUCGCUAGUAAUCGUGAAUCAGAAUGUCACGGUGAAUACGUUCCCGGGCCUU
rnacentral:rRNA from 1 species